CCUGUCACUAGCUUGGCUAGUCAGUUCGCCAUGUUUCUGCCUGCCUGCUUGCCCGCCUUAUUCUGGAUUUACCAUGGUUUUGACUUCUGCCUGCCCCUGGACUACUACUACUCCUGAACGGUGACCUGGGGCCUGUAGAGGGUUAGCGAGGAUUCCCCAAACUGAUAGGAGCAAUUGACUGCACUCAUGUCCCCAUCACUGGACCUUUAGGGGGGAUGAGGCCGACUUUGUCAACAGAAAGUCAACCCAUAGCAUCAAUGUGCAGAUGACUUGUGACCAUCAACGUAUGGUUACCAGUGUGGAUGCCAAAUGGCCGAGUCAUGGUCCAUGACUCCCGUACUUUUGGGAGUCAAGUCUUUGCCGACUGUUUCAGCAAGGUGUGGCGCAAUACACAAGAUCAAUAACUGUAAAUGUUGAUUAAGGGCCAUCUCUAACCAUUUUUUUGGUUAGUUUUUUUGUUUCAUUUAGUUUUCCUCUUGGAAGGAUGCGUUUGUUUGUUUUUUAGGGCUGGGCAAGUCAACUCGUUAAUUACGCGAUUUAUUUAACGGUUUAAUCCAAAUUGAGGCACGUUCUCUUAUGUAGCCUAUAUUUUUUUUCAUUUCGAUUUUGCAAGGUCUUGCCCACAGAAUGUCAACAUUCAUAACAGAAAUGAUUUUAGUUUAGUUCCACUUACUUUACAUUCAAUUAUACUUGCAGGGCCCUAAGUGAUAGCCUGUUUACAAUUCCCUAAUCUGUGCUGUUCCGUAAAUUUCAUAUUCAACCCACACACUGAGUGAGUCAAUAAAACUCUCUAGAUCACUUGGUCUAGUUUUUGCUUAUUAAGUAGGCUACAUUUGGUAUGAAUGAUAAUGUGUCAUUCCAUUUGAUAAUC
ensembl:lncRNA